rnacentral:tRNA from 1 species
GCGCCAGUAGCUCAGAUGGAUAGAGCAGCGGACUUCUAAUCCGCAGGUCGUGGGUUCGAGUCCCUCCUGGCGUG